UGGGGUGGUGGUGCAUGCCUGUAAUCCCAGCUACUCAGGAGGCUGAGGCACACGCCACCACGCCUGGCUAAUUUUUUGUAUUUUUAGUAGAGACAGGGUUUCUCCAUGUUGGUCAGGCUGGUCUCGAACUCCCAACCUCAGGUGAUCCACUCACCUUGGCCUCCCAAAGUGCUAGGAUUACAGGCAUAAGCCACCGUGCCAACCUAAUCUGAUGAUUUUUUUACAGCU
rnacentral:lncRNA from 1 species